GUCGUACGGAAGUUUUUAACUUUAGUGGCGGACGGGUGAGUAACACGUAAGAAUUUGCCUUUAGGAGGGGGAUAACAACUGGAAACGGUUGCUAAUACCCCAUAUGCUUUCGAGUGAAACGGUUUUUCCGCCUAAAGAGAAGCUUGCGGCUGAUUAGCUUGUUGGUAAGGUAAUGGCUUACCAAGGCGACGAUCAGUAUCUGGUUUGAGAGGACGAUCAGACACGCUGGAACUGAGACACGGUCCAGACUCCUACGGGAGGCAGCAGUGGGGAAUUUUCCGCAAUGGGCGAAAGCCUGACGGAGCAAUACCGCGUGAGGGAUGACGGCCUAUGGGUUGUAAACCUCUUUUUUCAGGGAGGAAUCAAUGACGUGUACCUGAAGAAUAAGCAUCGGCUAACUCCGUGCCAGCAGCCGCGGUAAGACGGAGGAUGCAAGUGUUAUCCGGAAUCACUGGGCGUAAAGCGUCUGUAGGUGGUUUAAUAAGUCAACUGUUAAAUCUUGAGGCUUAACCUCGAAAUCGCAGUCGAAACUAUUAGACUAGAGUAUAGUAGGGGUAAAGGGAAUUUCCAGUGGAGCGGUGAAAUGCGUAGAUAUUGGAAAGAACACCAAUGGCGAAGGCACUUUACUGGGCUAUUACUAACACUGAGAGACGAAAGCUAGGGUAGCAAAUGGGAUUAGAUACCCUGGUAGUCC
rnacentral:rRNA from 1 species